rnacentral:rRNA from 1 species
UCCUACGGGGGGCAGCAGUGGGGAAUAUUGGGCAAUGGGCGCAAGCCUGACCCAGCAACGCCGCGUGAAGGAAGAAGGCUUUCGGGUUGUAAACUUCUUUUCUCAGGGACGAAGCAAGUGACGGUACCUGAGGAAUAAGCCACGGCUAACUACGUGCCAGCAGCCGCGGUAAUACGUAGGUGGCAAGCGUUAUCCGGAUUUAUUGGGUGUAAAGGGUGCGUAGACGGAGAAACAAGUUGGUUGUGAAAUCCCUCGGCUCAACUGAGGAACUGCAACCAAAACUAUUUCCCUUGAGUGUCGGAGAG